UACGAAGGGGGCUAGCGUUGUUCGGAAUUACUGGGCGUAAAGCGCACGUAGGCGGGUUGUUAAGUCGGUUGUGAAAGCCCGGAGCUCAACUCCGGAAAUGCCAUUGAAACUGUAGAACUUGAGGACGAGAGAGGUGAGUGGAAUUCCCAGUGUAGAGGUGAAAUUCGUAGAUAUUGGGAAGAACACCGGUGGCGAAGGCGGCUCACUGGCUCGUUUCUGACGCUCAGGCGCGAUAGCGUGGGGAUCAAACAGG
rnacentral:rRNA from 1 species